GUGGGGAAUCUUGCGCAAUGGGCGAAAGCCUGACGCAGCCAUGCCGCGUGAAUGAUGAAGGUCUUAGGAUUGUAAAAUUCUUUCACCGGGGACGAUAAUGACGGUACCCGGAGAAGAAGCUCCGGCUAACUUCGUGCCAGCAGCCGCGGUAAUACGAAGGGGGCUAGCGUUGCUCGGAAUUACUGGGCGUAAAGGGCGCGUAGGCGGACAGCUUAGUCAGAGGUGAAGGCCCAGGGCUCAACCUUGGAAUUGCCUUUGAUACUGGCUGUCUUGGGUUUGGGGGAGGGGAGUGGAACUCCGAGUGUAGAGGUGAAAUUCAUAGAUAUUCGGAAGAACACCAGUGGCGAAGGCGACUCACUGGCCCAAUACUGACGCUGAGGCGCGAAAGCGUGGGGAGCAAACAGGAUUAGAAACCCUAGUAGUCC
rnacentral:rRNA from 1 species